rfam:Ciona intestinalis ciona0533, whole genome shotgun sequence.
GUUUCCGUAGUGUAGUGGGUAUCACGUUCGCUUUACACGCGAAAGGUCCCCGGUUCAAGCCCGGGCGGAAACA